CAGCCGCCGCGGUAAUACGAAGGGUGCAAGCGUUAAUCGGAAUUACUGGACGUAAAGCGUGCGUAGGCGGUUUGUUAAGUCUGUUGUGAAAUCCCCGGGCUCAACCUGGGAAUGGCAGUGGAUACUGGCAAGCUAGAGUGUGUCAGAGGAUGGCGGAAUUCCCGGUGUAGCGGUGAAACGCGUAGAGAUCGGGAGGAACAUCAGUGGCGAAGGCGGCCAUCUGGGACAACACUGACGCUGAGGCACGAAAGCGUGGGGAGCAAACAGGAUUAGAUACCCCAGUAGUCCCUGUCUCUUAUAC
rnacentral:rRNA from 1 species